CAGUAGCCGCGGUAAUACGUAGGUGGCAAGCGUUGUCCGGAAUUAUUGGGCGUAAAGCGCGCGCAGGCGGAUAGGUCAGUCUGUCUUAAAAGUUCGGGGCUUAACCCCGUGAUGGGAUGGAAACUGCCAAUCUAGAGUAUCGGAGAGGAAAGUGGAAUUCCUAGUGUAGCGGUGAAAUGCGUAGAUAUUAGGAAGAACACCAGUGGCGAAGGCGACUUUCUGGACGAAAACUGACGCUGAGGCGCGAAAGCCAGGGGAGCGAACGGGAUUAGAUACCCGGGUAGUCCCUGUCUCUUAUACA
rnacentral:rRNA from 1 species